UACGUAGGGGGCAAGCGUUGUCCGGAUUUAUUGGGCGUAAAGAGCGUGUAGGCGGCUUGGUAGGUCCGCUGUGAAAACUCGAGGCUCAACCUCGAGAUGUCGGCGGAAACCACUUGGCUAGAGUCCGGAAGAGGAGAGUGGAAUUCCCGGUGUAGCGGUGAAAUGCGCAGAUAUCGGGAAGAACACCUAUGGCGAAGGCAGCUCUCUGGGACGGUACUGACGCUGAGACGCGAAAGCCAGGGGAGCGAACGGG
rnacentral:rRNA from 1 species